rnacentral:lncRNA from 1 species
UGAGUCACAGAACCCAGGGAGCCAAUUGCACAGGCGGCAGAGAGCGUCCCGGGGUCAGAGGAAGGCGGAGGAGAGGCCGCGGACCGGAGGGGCUCGGCUGUGAGUGAGAAGAUGUAGAGGAACCACAGGCAGGCGAUCGGCCCAGACGCGCGGCUG